GGGAAUUCUCCCUCUCGGAAAGCAGCCACCACACUGUGAAGAAGCCAAAGCCUCAUGGAGGAUACAUAUGCUCCCUCUUCAGACACUUUCUUUCAGAACCCAGCUGGUAUGCAGUGAGAAACCCAAGCUAUAUGGAGAAGUCACAUGCUGACUCCAGUCAACAGUCCCAGUGAAGACCAGCCUUUGAGUCAUCACAGCCAUCUCAUGAGACAUGUGAAUGAAGAAGCUUCCAGAUGAUUCCAGCCUCCAGCCAUAUGGCGCUGUGCUGUCCCCCGACCAUGUAAACCGUCCUGCGGGGCUCCUAGGAGCUCGCUGCAAGGGCCGCCCAGGGCACCUGGGUUCCUUUGAGGACCAGGGCUCCAGAUCAUCCGUGAACAAGGUGAAGUGAGCUGCAGAACUGGCCUUGGAGGAAUUCGAAAACAGGCGAAAGGGACUCCAUGAAGAUACAGCCACACUGCGUGUCAGGGUUUCAACUUAUGAAUUUGAGGGGGACCUGAUUCAGUCCAAAGCGUGUGGAAAGGAUCCCAAAGGUGAGCAGAGCAGUUUGAGCAGAGCUUAGCAAGGACAACUCGUUUCAACUCUACAUGGUAUCAUCUGUGAUGGCUUGACUGGCAAGUGGAGAAUCCACAUUUACGAAUCCACUAUCCUCCAUGGAGACAGACACCACCAAGGACAAGCACCUGGAUUAUCUCUUCCCCACAACGAGACACAGGCUGGUGGGAAAGCUGCUGACCAGCAAGUUCAUGGGCUCCCUCCUCUCUGCAAGUGUCUCAAGGCCAAAACCAGGCUGGUGGGAAAGCUCCGACCAGCAAGGCCAUAUGCUCCCCCUCCCCUACCUAAAACCCCAAAUAAAAACCCUUCCUUUUAGCUUUUUGGGGAGUUUGGGAUUUCAGCGUUAGCUGCACUCUCUCCUUGCUCAGAGCUGUGCAAAAAUAAAAUUCCUACUUUCUUCCACCACACCCGGUGUCAGAGACUGGCUUGCUGUGCAACGGGUGAGCAAACUCACUUCAGGUUCGGUGUCAUAAAUGUUCCUUGUUUGAAGAAGAAACCAGAAAGUUGUCAGUGCCCAUCACUUCUCCAAAGGGCCUCUUCUUUUCCUUGCCUGUGAUGAGAUGUCAAGGUCAUGAAAUAGUUCUGUCCACACUUCCUGAUUUUCAGUUUCUAAGAUACACAAGUCAUGGUUGAGCAAGUGUUACUCCUUAGCAAUCCUCGUGACUUAGCGCUGUCAAUUCUUCCCUCUAGAGAGAAGAUGCCAACUGUCCCAUUGUUGUGCCUUUAAAAGUUAUUGUCAAAAUUAUUUGCAAUGUCUACCAGUUGAAUGUUUAUUCAACUUUAGAUUGUACGUCUUUUAGAAUUAUAUUAACCUGAAAAAUCAUUUGGCUGUUACAUACGAUUUAGAACUUGAAUAUUCUGAAUAGUAGAACCAC
rnacentral:lncRNA from 1 species